rnacentral:lncRNA from 1 species
AUGAACGUAUUGCCCUUUGGAUGCUUUGCUAUUGGCCUGGAAAACAAAAGGAAGAAAAAUCAGUUAGCUUCCACAACAGAACAUGUGAAAAAGAGGAAGAGGCAAGAGAGGCUGACUCAAAGCUGGUGGAACCUGAACUCUGAGUUAAAACUAGAUCAGAACCCUGGUUCCAGCCCCUCUUCACCCCCUUCUCCCCAACCACAAGCGCUCUGAAGACCAGUGGGGGGGUCUGACAACGGAUCCUCACUUCUGGGAAGCCAGGAUAGUGGAUCCCAGUGGGCAUCACCGAGGAGGAGCGGACUCUGAUGGUGGCGACCACUGACUGGCAAACGAGAACAGAUUGACAUUCCAGCAACCAAUGGAAGGCCAUGGAGGAUUCACGCGGGGGUGAGUACCUCGGGAGAGAAUGUGUCAAUGGGUGAAACAAAGCCCAGAUUUGCAGGAAACGUGUGCUCAGCGCCUGGACCUGCAGACAUGUGGUGCAACAACCCGGCAUUGACCAUGAAUUUUUUCGCAGAAUCGGGGGAGCGGUGAGGAUAAAUAGGCAGAUGUAGGGGUCAGCCCCCUGGCCCCCCAUUUCUCCAGAAACUACUGGGAAAUGUGGCAAUGGCAGCCAGGUCAGGGACAGGUGGGCGGUCCGGUGACCGGUAGCUUAGGGCGAACCGUGCUCCAUCCGAUACUGGAGGCCUCUUUUCCGCCUGAAAAUCCCGCUGCUGCCAUUGCUCACUCAGGAACAAGGCACUUUCUCCAUGGAAUUGGGCCUCCUGGACUAAAGUAUAUGAGCAGGAUGUGAGAAGCAAUGUGGCCUAGUGGAAAGAGCACAGGCCUGGAGUCAGAGGACCUGUGUUCUAACCUGCUGUGUGACCUUGGGCAAGUCGCUUAACUUCUCUGUGCCUCAUUUCCCUCACCUGCAAAAUGGAGAUUUAAUACCUGUUCUCCCUCCUAUUUAGAUUGUGAACCCCAUGUGGAAUCUGAUUAGACUGCUUCUACCCCAGUGCUUAGUACAGUAUUUGGCACAUAGUGAGCACGUAACAAACUCCACAGUUAUUAUUAUUAUGAAUAAUUAUUAUUAUAACAAUAAUCAUAAUCAUGCUCAUGUAUCACCUAUCCUAAAAAAAAGUCUUCCUUGACCCCAUGGCUCCCUCCAGAUACCACCCUAUUUCCCUUCUACCAUUUGCUGAAGGUUUAUUAAAAUCCACAUCAAAGAAAUUUAAAAAAAUGUAAUUCCUAGAUAAAUGCUGGGAAGCAGCCUGAGAAGCAGUCUGGCAUAGUGAAAAGGCCACGGAAAAGUGGUUUGAAAUGGGGCUUUUUUUUUAUUGGUGACCCGAUCAAGGAACACGAUAUGCUUCAUGCACUCAAUAUUAAAAACUUGUUAUUAUAGCACUAUCCUGGUCAAGGUCAAUAGAAUCAAUCAAGGAGUUGCAGAAACCUAGCUUUUUUGGACGGAUACAUUACCUUAGGUGUAUAAUGGGAAGGAAAGGUGAGUAACCUUUCCUAUCUACCAGCAGCCACUUUCUAGAAGCAGGG